rnacentral:rRNA from 1 species
AGAGUUUGAUCCUGGCUCAGAACGAACGCUGGCGGCAGGCUUAACACAUGCAAGUCGAGCGCCCCGCAAGGGGAGCGGCAGACGGGUGAGUAAACGCGUGGGAAUCUACCCUGAUCUGCGGAAUAGCUCCGGGAAACUGGAAUUAAUACCGCAUGUGCCCUGAGGGGCAAAGAUUUAUCGGUUCAGGAUGAGCCCGCGUCCGAUUAGCUAGUUGGUGGGGUAAUGGCCUACCAAGGCGACGAUCGGUAGCUGGUCUAAGAGGAUGAUCAGCCACAUUGGGACUGAGACACGGCCCAAACUCCUACGGGAGGCAGCAGUGGGGAAUAUUGGACAAUGGGCGCAAGCCUGAUCCAGCCAUGCCGCGUGAGUGAUGAAGGCCCUAGGGUUGCAAAGCUCUUUCAGUGGGGACGAUAAUGACGGUACCCACAGAAGAAGCCCCGGCUAACUUCGUG